CUGCACAACAAAUGUAAAAUGUAUAUUUCCUGUAGUAUGUGUGUGUUCAAUAAAAGAACGGUGCAGGGGAGAGAAAAACAGAUGUGUUCCUGACUACGCAGAUGCAGCACCUCUCUCCCCGGCCGGGUGAACAACUUUAUUACUUAGUCCGUGUUUUUCUUUCUUAGACAUUUAAGUUUAGUUUUUCUCGUGCAAAAUUAAGAUGCUUUGACCAAAUAAACGAACACGCAGGAGUUUAGAAGGACAACUCCAACAACUUGGUGACCCCCGACGUGCUUUGGGAAAAGCGAGGACUUUCGGCUAAAUCAGAACUUCACCAAAAGACGUCUGACACCGGGGUACCUCCUCACUUCUUACAAGGGGAUCAUCCUGCCAGCGUGGUGGUGGUGCGAAAGCCCAAAACUGUGGGGAAAAGAUGUCUUCAGUCCACACUCUACAGAGCUUACACAGGACCACUUCCUGAUCCCGACAUUGUGGCAUCAGGAGAAAAACUACGCCAGAUGGAGUCCCAGCCUCUCAUAGCUCUCGUCUUAGAUAGUCUCUCAACUUUGGAGCUGGUACCAUCCAAAUUUGGGCCUGUGCCAAAGGGCUCACCAAUGUCUUACCAGUUCCCACCCCAGACGUCCUGCAGUAGCAUCUUACUGCAUCACAUGGCUCCAGACUUCCCUGCUCUUCCUUUGACGCUGCACAGUCUUCCCAACAUGUGUUUUGUGCCCACACUCAGUCAACUUAUGCAUUUUCAGUCUCUGCAAGUGUCACUGGAAAUGUCUUAUGAAAUAGAGGCCAGAACCAGGGAGCAGUCCAAAUGUCCUGCAUGGGUACAGCUUUGACAACCAAGGCUUACAGCUAGCCGUUUGCAUGAUGCUUGCAGAGGAAGUGCACAGGAGGAGUCGGCUGCCACAGCAGUGGCAGAUCAGAUGAUUAGGAGGUCUGAACUGCUGCCAUGAAGCGUGGUCUGCAGAUGGAGUCAGAAGUGCUGUCAAACUAUGCUGAGAUGUUACGGGUCAACGUGCUCCCUGUGGGUUCGUUAUUCGCCCCGAGACAUCAUAUCGUGGGACAAGUCCAGAUGGCAGGGUGUAUGACCCAUCAGAAUCACCCCGUUAGGACUGGUUGAUGUAAAAAGCAGUCCAAAAAAUGAUGUGUCUCAGGUUGCUCACCUCAAGCUUCAGGAUGGUCAUGCAAGUCUGAGGUGUUCACACGCACACUACUGGCAGGUUCAGGCUCAGCUGGCAAUCACUGGAUUAGAACGGUGCCACUUUGUCACCGACACACUUACAACAAUGACUGUUGAGCGGGUGUGGCGUGAUGAAUCUUUCAUUGAUCAGAUGAAAUCAAAACUGGACAUGUUUUACUUCAACACCUUCAUUGAUCUUUAUUUCAAUGCAGCAAGAAUCAUAAAAUGUAUAAAUCACUCUUUUGUUCCUUCGCAUUUUAAAUAUUUAGCCUCAAGUUGCUUGAAUCACUGUAAGUAGUGUAAAUAUCUUCUAAAUUGAUUGUAAAUGAUCUGGUAAAUUUUUGUUGUUUCUCUUGCAUUUCAACUCAGUCAAUCCACACAUGAAAUUAAAAAAGUACAGUA